UCCGACUUAACGUCGGCAGUCUCGCCAGAGUGCUCAGCUUGCCUGUUAGCAACUGACGACAGAGGUUGCGCUCGUUGCGGGACUUAACCCAACAUCUCACGACACGAGCUGACGACAGCCAUGCAGCACCUGUGUUACGGCUCUCUUUCGAGCACGCCCGAAUCUCACCAGGCUUCAGGACAUGUCAAGGGUAGGUAAGGUUUUUCGCGUUGCAUCGAAUUAAUCCACAUAAUCCACCGCUUGUGCGGGUCCCCGUCAAUUCCUUUGAGUUUUAACCUUGCGGCCGUACUCCCCAGGCGGUCGACUUCACGCGUUAGCUUCGUUACUGAGAGUGUCAAACCCCCAACAACCAGUCGACAUCGUUUAGGGCGUGGACUAC
rnacentral:misc_RNA from 1 species